rnacentral:rRNA from 1 species
UACGUAGGGGGCAAGCGUUGUCCGGAAUCAUUGGGCGUAAAGAGCGCGUAGGCGGCCCAGUAAGUCCGCUCUGAAAGUCAGGGGCUCAACCCCUGAAUGCGGGUGGAUACUGCUGGGCUAGAGUCCGGAAGAGGCGAGUGGAAUUCCUGGUGUAGCGGUGAAAUGCGCAGAUAUCAGGAGGAACACCAAUGGCGAAGGCAGCUCGCUGGGACGGUACUGACGCUGAGGCGCGAAAGCUAGGGGAGCGAACGGG